rnacentral:rRNA from 1 species
AAACCGUUCCCGAGGAUCUAUUGGAGGGCAAGUCUGGUGCCAGCAGCCGCGGUAAUUCCAGCUCCAAUAGCGUAUAUUAAAGUUGUUGUGGUUAAAAAGCUCGUAGUUGGAUUUCGGCGGGUAGUGGUCGGUUUGAAUUGCUUCAACACUGGCUUUUUUACCCGUGUGUUUUGCCAGAAUUUAACGGGUGAUCUUCGCCGAUUGUCCGUUAGAACUGGCAGGUUUACUUUGAAAAAAUUAGAGUGCUCAAGCAAGCUUGAUUGCUUGAAUAUUCGUGCAUGGAAUAAUAGAAUAGGAAGUCGUUUCUAUUUUGUUGGUUUUCGGAAAUCGACUUAAUGAUUAAUAGGGAUAGUCGGGGGCAUUUGUAUUCAAACGACAGAGGUGAAAUUCUUGGACCGUUUGAAGACAAACUACUGCGAAAGCAUUUGCCAAGAAUGUUUUCAUUAAUCAAGAACGAAAGUUAGAGGUUCGAAGGCGAUUAGAUACCGCCCUAGUUCUAACCAUAAACGAUGCCAGCUAGCGAUCUGCCGGUGCUUGAUUUUCUGGCCCGGCAGGCAGCUUCCGGGAAACCAAAGCUUGUGGGUUCCAGGGGAAGUAUGGUUGCAAAGCUGAAACUUAAAGGAAUUGACGGAAGGGCACCACCAGGAGUGGAGCCUGUGGCUUAAUUUGACCCAACACGGGAAAUCUCACCAGGCCCGGACACCAGAAGGAUUGACAGAUUGAUAGCUCUUUCUUGAUUUGGUGGGUGGUGGUGCAUGGCCGUUCUUAGUUGGUGGAGUGAUUUGUCUGGUUAAUUCCGAUAACGAACGAGACUCUGUCCUGUUAAAUAGAUCCAACCUAGUUGUAGGGUUGGAAUGUCUUCUUAGAGGGACUGGUGAUUAUUAGUCACACGAGAUUGAGCAAUAACAGGUCUGUGAUGCCCCUAGAUGUUCUGGGCCGCACACGCGCUUCACUGAAGUGAUCAGCUAGUUUUUCCCUCUCCGAGAGGAGCGGGUAAACUGUUGAACCCACUUCGUGGUAGGGAUCGGAGCUUGCAAUUAUUCUCCGUGAACCAGGAAUUCCCAGUAGGUGCAAGUCAUAAGCUUGCAUCGAUUACGUCCCUGCCCUUUGUACACACCGCCCGUCGCUACUACCGAUUGAGUGUUUUAGUGAGGACCUCGGAUUGCUUGCCCGGCGGUUAACGCUGCCUAGCUGGCGAAAAGACGUCCAAACUGUAGCACUUAGAGGAAGUAAAAGUC